rnacentral:lncRNA from 1 species
GCCGGAGCAAGAACAAUGGCGUGAAGAGCUAAAAGCGAUUCCAAGGAAAUGUAGCAGAAGUGUCAGUCCAGCUGCACUCACGUCCUGGCAAAAGGGACAGACCAAGCCGGCUGCUUCUCCAUGUGCUCUGGUGCUGGUCUCCCACCGGGACACAGAGCAGGGCCGGGGCUCCAAGCACUGCUUUAGGGUCUCCCAGAAGUGCAAGGAAGCCUCACGCGAUGCCUGAUUCAGAAGUAGGCUGCUACCAGGCAGCUUUGUGCAUUUGGUGGCUUCCUUGGAAACUCAUCAAAUGCUUGGCACAAAUGCGUCCCUCCUCCAGUGACAGGAGCUCACACUUCGGCAAGCAUCAAACUGCUCUGAAAUGUGAUAACGGCGUCUGUCAAUUUCUGCACACAGAGUGCUGUUUUCUGCAGCGGGACUGUUUGUCUUGGCCUUCUGGAGCUGUAGGAGCUUUCAGACCCCCUACUCCUUGGAGCAAGGUUUGGGGGAUAGAUGGGGUACAAAAGGGCAGGGCAGGUUUUGGGAGAGGUGGGGAGCGCUCAUAGGAGCGCUCCAUUUGUGGGGUAGUGGGAGAAGGGAGGGUUCUGGGGACAUUCCUUAGCCAGGCGGCAGGCACAGCUGCGAAUGACAGCAGCUGCAGAGCCCAGAAUGGGUCUGAGCCUGGCCUCUCCCUCCCUACGCCUGGCGGACAACCUCCUGGUCCCUGGCCACAUUGCUGCCUCCGACUGGCAGCACAGGACACUCAGCCUUCCCCCCGCCCCCCACAGCAAUGAGGUUUGAGCAGGUGCUGGGGGUGGGGAGAGGAGUAGGUGUGUCUUAGGAGGAGAAGGACGAUGGGGUGGCAGAGGUGGCACUGUGCCUGGUGUUUUGGGGACUGAAAGGAGGACACGUUCAUUGUUUGGAUGUAUUUGUAAUUUAAGAUUACAUCUUUCCUAAAGCAGGUGCUGCUGCAAUGGGGUGAGCGCGGAGCAAACAUUGAAAGGCUUUGAGCUGGGUAAGGGCAGGUUCAGGAGGCAGGUCUGCCUGCAGGGUGGAGGGAAGCUGGAUGGAGCAGACACACCAGAGGCUGUCUAGUGGUCCAGGUGAACAAGGAAGGGGGUGGUGGGGAUGGAGACCACAAGAAGAUCCAGGGCUUGGGCAGGGCGUGUAGGACUUAGGAUGUUCUGUUCCCCUCUGUCCUUAGCCCUGAUACAACAAUAUGCUUAAGCCGUCUUCUCCCCUUCUAGGAGCUCAGUGGACCCUCAAAGCUCAUGGAGGACCUGGCAAGGGUUCUCUUAGAAAGGGGCUAAUGGAAAUGUCCUUUAGGAAAGGUGAGGAUUCUUCCUGCUGGAUGCCAUGAAGAUUAAGGAUGACGGAGCCUCCAUCUGAGUGACUCAUUUCUGGGCAGUGAUGGGGGUCCUGGCCCUCAGCCACUGCUCCUGGUGUCCCAAGGCUCCCCCAGCGAUCCUUAAUCAGGCCACUAGCCAUGGCAGCAUUUGGUGUGCUUCACCUGUUGUGGUUAUUUUCCUAACUAUGCCCCGAUUGUCCCAUUCUUAAGCUGGUGCGAGCUUAUUCAAGUUAACUCUUGAAUUUUUCUGAGCCAAUCUCAGUCGUUUCGGCUUUGGUCUGGCGAGAAGAUUUAGGGUCUGUGCAUUUCCCGCUUUGGAUCUGGAAUCAGCCAUUUCUCCAAGUGGCCCUGGUUCCUUUUGGUGGGAAAUGGUAUUGAGAGGUCACACUCUAGGUAAAUGUGUCCCUCCUUUCUUGGCCAAAAAUGCCACAGCCGUUCCAAAAGUGUGUGAUGUCAAAUUUUGUAAGAAACUUUUAGAUUUUUGCUAAUUUUAAUGAGUAAAAAUUGUUACCUUAGGGUUGUUAAUAAUUUGCCUCUCAUUACGAGUAAGGUUGAGUAGUUACGAAAAUAUGUAUGUAUAUAAACUGCAGUGGCUUGGCUCGUUGCUAUGGCAUGGGUUUGAUCCCUUGCCUGGGGACUUCUGCAUGGCUUGGGAGCGGCCACACACACACACACACGCCAUUUGCUCAUUUUUUAAAUUAUUUUUUUUGACUGCUCUGCGGCAUAUGGAGUUGCUGGGCCAGGGGUCAGGUCCAAGCCACAGUUUCAACCUACCUGUGGCAACACCUGAUCCUUUAACCCACUGCGCUGGGCUGGGGAUCGAACUUGCAUCCUGGUGCUGCAGAGAUGCCACCAAUCCCGUUGCACCACAGUGUGAACUCCUCAUUUGCUCAUUUUAAAAUGGGAUUGUUUGUUCUUAUUGCCUUUAGUUUUAGAAGCUCUUUGUCUCUAAGGAUAUUAACCUUUGUCUUUUACAUAAGUUACAAAUAUUUUUCCUGGUUUUUCUUUGGUCUUUUUUCUUUGUUUAUAGUGUUUUUUGUCACUCAGAAGUUUUUGUUUUGUUUUGUUUUGUAAAGAUCAUGACUUCAUAACCUAGACUGCAAAGAUGGACUUCAAGGAGUCUGAAUCCACUGUUUUUUGUGCAGAUUUCAGGCUAUAUAAACACAUAUGCAUCUUCCUGGGAAAAGAGUCGAUUUCUUUCAUUAGCAUCCCAUCAUUUAAGAGCUUACCUUUAAAUCCUCGAAAUCUAGGAGUCCUUGCCCUUAAGCUUUGGCAAGGGCCUCACCUCUGCCCCCUCAGACUUCAGCUUCUCCCCUGAACAGUGAGGGGCCUGGGCAAAAGGCCCUUAGGGCUUCUCUCCAGAGUCUGGAUCUGCCCAGGCUCCCCCUGAAGCAGCCCCCCCCAGACCUUAUUCCUCCUGGCCUUUUGGCAGGAGGUGCCACUCUCAUUUGCUAAAUUCAGGGUCAUUCCUCCCCAAUCAUCCCCCAGGAGACCUAGACACCGGAUGAGUCACCUUGCUAUUGGGAAAGGUCUCCCUGAGUUAGCCAUGAGGGUUGCUAGAAGUUCAAGGUAAACCAAAGUUCUAAUAAAUGAAGUAGUACCCACAGUACUGCCCCAGAAUGGAGAGGAUUUGGCACUCAGGAAUAAAAUCACCAGCAGAGAUUAGUGGAUAAUUGGACAUUAAUUCUUUGUGAACGCAAACAAAUUAAACUUCACUUGGGUGGCGAAGGGACCAGGCUGACUGUGGAAUGCACUGACCUGGCCUUUGGAGGCUUAAUCUUCUCACCAGGGCUGGAGGUGGGGUGAGGAGAUGACUAAUUAAAUGUUUUUUAAAAAAAGUCUCUACAAUGUUGGAAAAGCCCCCAAAGCUGAAAUCCCUUUGGAAAGAACAAUCCACAAGUCCUUGAAUUGUUCCUCUGUUUAUACUUGACUUAGUGUCCUGUUGGUGUGUGUCUAGGGAGAAACCCGUCUGCUAUCCCAGGAAAUACCUUAACCACCCCCAGAGAAGGGAUGAGACCCCCUUAGACAUUGACCAUCCCUGAAAGUCUCCAACCCAAAUGGGCCAUUUGUCUUUCCCUACAGAGCUCACGGGGCUGUGAGUCCUGUGACAAGUAGCCUUUCUCUGGACCCUGGGCCCCUAGCGUGGAGCUACUGGUGGGCUUGGGGUCUGGGCAGAGCUGGCCACUUGGCCUGGCUUCUUGGCUUUAGAGAGGAAGUAGGUUGGGAGUUUCAGAGGAAACUAGGACAAUCGUCCAGCAGCCAGCACAGGGCAGGGCCCAGAGCGACCGCUUGGUCAAGGCUGGAGCAUGAGUGUCAUGGUGGGAGGGCUGGGACCGAAUGCACGAUGAGGGCCCUGGAACCGCACAGCUAAGCAGGGCGGUGGACAUUUUGGCCUGGGGCUUCCGUUCGCCACACAGAAUGUGCCAGAAGGGUUCUCUUUCUGCAACUCGACUUCUGCAACCCUUGCAUUUGCCAGAGUGACAUCCUUUGUCCUCCAUCCCCCCCAGUCCAUGAAAACAAAACCUACGUUAAUCCCCACCUCUCACCACCCCACAAAGGGCCAGUAAGCUGGACAUGAGAGCUUAUGGUCCUGAAAGAUGCUGGUCCAACCUCCCGGUCCUCAGCCCCAAGCUCUGCCUGGCAGGUGCCUCCCUGCUUCCCUUUUCCUAAAGUUCAUGGCACCCAAAUGUUCAAAAUCAGCCAGGAACUCUUGCCAACAGGGGCUGCUCACUGGGCAGCCGGGCCUGACCAGGACUUGGGUACAGUUGCUCUUACUGGGCUUUUUGGGAAACAUUUAUGCUGCCAUGCCCAUCGAUCGUCUGCCCAGUGGUGGUGCUUGGGGGGCUCUCUGAGCACCCUGCCUCGCUACUCUUUCUGCCCUUCAUGCAUCUGGGCCACUCCUUGCCAGACCCUGCUGAGGCUCAGAAGGGCUCUCUUGAGUUAGUCUCUGCAGGGUCCACCUUCUAGUUGCCCUCAGAGUUUCUUAUGCCCUUGGCUGUCCUUGGUGCCAAGGUCACGGAAAUGAAGUCCCAAGGAGCAGUGCUGCAGGCGGGGGAGGGGCCGCGUGCGUGCUGGGUCUCUGGACCUGGGACACUUGUCCUUAAACCGGAUCUGCCUCUGCCCAGUGAUGCGACCUUGGCUGGUUCCUGGAGGAGGGCCGGGAAGCCAGGCCCACACCCCUCUCCUCUGAACAAGGCAUGGUCUGGCUGCCUAGCGCUGUCCCCUCCGGUGAAGUCCCUGAGCUACGGCUGCCUCAGCUGUAACAUGGGGAUAAGAAUUCCUUCCCCAUUGAGUGUUUGCAGGAGAAGAUAUGUGGUAAUUAUAGGAAACCCACCGCAGAGCAAUUUGCUGAUGUCAAUCAGGAUAAUCCCAGCUGUCUGCUUCCUGGUCUUGGCCUUCAUUUAGGGUCUAUGCUUUUACUAUAUAUAGAUAGCUUUUGGCAUCUGCCUUUCCUGGGUCGAAUUCUUCCUCCCUACGGAAGAUGCAGUAGAUACGGCAUGCAGUAUAUAAUGUUAUAUAGCCUAUGACAGUGCACAGUUUGUAGCAGUCCCCAGUACAUAUAUGUUAUACAGUAUACCACAGUAUGCAGCGUAUAACAGUACCUAACAUUAGGGCGUACAUAACAGUAUACAGUGUGUAAUGUAUAUGGAGCAUAUAAUAGACAGCACUUAACAGUAUAGAGUAUUAAUAAUACACAGUAUAUAGCAGUAUACAGUACCUAACAGCAUACACUGCUUAACUGUAUACAGCAUAUAACACUAUACAGUAUGUAACAGAAUAAGGCCUCUAACAGUAUGCGGUGUAUAACAGUGUACAGGAUGCAAGGGUAUGCGGUCUAUAAGAGUAUACGGUAUUAAAGAGUAUGUGACAUAUGACAGGAUAUGACAAUAUAUGUGAAAAUGUUAACUGUUUAGGUGAUUUAAACAUUUUUCUGUGUUGAUUUCAUUUUCUAAAAGGCAAGUAGGUUGCACUGGUUUAGUAUCAGGCUGCAGGACCAGAUUGCCAGGGCUCCAAUCAUAGCUCUACCAAUUAUGAGCUGUAUAAUCUCAGGCAAGUUGACCUCUCUGAAACUCAGUUUGCUCGUCUGUACAAUGGAGACAAAAGACUAACAUUUAGACUAAGAACUUUUAAAAUUCAGCAGUAAAAAACCUCACAAAAAUCCAGUUAGAAAAUGGGUAGAAGAUGGAGUUCCCGUCGUAGCUCAGUGGAAGUGAAUCUGACUAGCAUCCAGAGGAUGCAGGUUCAAUCCCUGGCCUUGCUCAGUGGGUUAAGGAUCCGGGGUUGCCGUGAGCUGUGGUGUAGGCUGCAGAUGCUGCUUGGAUCUGGCAUUGCUGUGGCUGUGGUGGAGGCUGGCCACUGCAGCUCCAGUUGACCCCUAGCCUGGGAACCUCCAUACACUGUGGAUGUGGCCCUAAAAAGACAGGGAAAAAAAAAAAGAAAAAGAAAAAAAA